rnacentral:rRNA from 1 species
CCUACGGGAGGCUGCAGUCGAGAAUCAUUCACAAUGGGGGAAACCCUGAUGCAGCAACGCCGCGUGAGUGAAGAAGUAUUUCGGUAUGUAAAGCUCUAUCAGCAGGGAAGAGUAGAAGACGGUACCUGUCGAAUAAGCCACGGCUAACUACGUGCCAGCAGCCGCGGUAAUACGUAGGUGGCAAGCGUUGUCCGGAUUUACUGGGUGUAAAGGGCGUGUAGCCGGGUUGACAAGUCAGAUGUGAAAUCCUGCGGCUUAACCGCAGAACUGCAUUUGAAACUGUUGAUCUUGAGUACUGGAGAGGCAGACGGAAUUCCUAGUGUAGCGGUGAAAUGCGUAGAUAGUAGGAGGAACACCAGUGGCGAAGGCGGUCUGCUGGACAGCAACUGACGGUGAGGCGCGAAAGCGUGGGGAGCAAACAGGAUUAGAUACCCCAGUAGUC